UAGGGAAUCUUCCACAAUGGACGCAAGUCUGAUGGAGCAACGCCGCGUGAGUGAAGAAGGUUUUCGGACCGUAAAGCUCUGUUGUUGGUGAAGAAGGAUAGAGGUAGUAACUGGCCUUUAUUUGACGGUAAUCAACCAGAAAGUCACGGCUAACUACGUGCCAGCAGCCGCGGUAAUACGUAGGUGGCAAGCGUUGUCCGGAUUUAUUGGGCGUAAAGCGAGCGCAGGCGGAAGAAUAAGUCUGAUGUGAAAGCCCUCGGCUUAACCGAGGAAUUGCAUCGGAAACUGUUUUCUUGAGUGCAGAAGAGGAGAGUAGAACUCCAUGUGUAGCGGUGGAAUGCGUAGAUAUAUGGAAGAAUACCAGUGGCGAAGGCGGCUCUCUGGUCUGCAACUGACGCUGAGGCUCGAAAGCAUGGGUAGCGAACAGGAUUAGAUACCCUGGUAGUCCAUGCCGUAAACGAUGAGUGCUAAGUGUUGGGAGGCUUCCGCCUCUCAGUGCUGCGGCUAACGCAUUAAGCACUCCGCCUGGGGGAGUACGACCG
rnacentral:rRNA from 1 species